UACGUAGGGGGCAAGCGUUGUCCGGAAUCAUUGGGCGUAAAGAGCGCGUAGGCGGCCCUGUAAGUCCGCUGUGAAAGUCAAGGGCUCAACCCUUGAAUGCCGGUGGAUACUGCAGGGCUAGAGUCCGGAAGAGGAGAGUGGAAUUCCUGGUGUAGCGGUGAAAUGCGCAGAUAUCAGGAAGAACACCUAUGGCGAAGGCAGCUCUCUGGGACGGUACUGACGCUGAGACGCGAAAGCGUGGGGAGCGAACAAGGAUUAAGAAACCCUA
rnacentral:rRNA from 1 species